rnacentral:rRNA from 1 species
CAAAGGGCGCAUGGUGAAUGCCUUGGCACUAGGAGCCGAUGAAGGACGUGAUAAGCUGCGAUAAGCUUCGGGUAGGCGCAAAUAGCCUGUGAACCGAAGAUUUCCGAAUGAGGAAACUCUCAUGGGUAACCCCAUGAACUGUAUACUGAAUUCAUAGGUAUAUAGAGGUAAACCCGGGGAACUGAAACAUCUAAGUACCUGGAGGAAGAGAAAGAAAAAUCGAUUUCCUUAGUAGCGGCGAGCGAAACGGAAAGAGCCCAAACCGGAAACUUGUUUCCGGGGUUGCGGUCAGAUCAUUAAGGCUUUAUAUCUUAACCGAAGAUUUCUGGAAAGUUAAACCAUAGAAGGUAAUAGUCCUGUAGGUAAAAAGAGAAAAAAGCCCGAUCUGUACCAGAGUACCACGAGACACGUGAAACCUUGUGGGAAGCUGGGAGGACCACCUCCCAAGGCUAAAUACUACCUAGUGACCGAUAGUGAAGAAGUACCGUGAGGGAAAGGUGAAAAGAACCCCAGGAGGGGAGUGAAAUAGAACCUGAAACCGUGUGUCCACAACCGAUCAAAACACGUUAAUGUGUGAUGAUGUGCUUUUUGUAGAACGAGCCAGCGAGUUACGGUAUGCAGCAAGGUUAAGCACUUAAGGUGCGCAGCCGAAGGGAAACCAAGUCUGAAUAGGGCGUAUAGUUGCAUGCUGUAGACCCGAAACCGGGUGACCUAUCCAUGGCCAGGGUGAAGCGGAAGUAAAAUUCCGUGGAGGCCCGAACCACAAUGGUGUUGAAAAACCAUGGGAUGAGCUGUGGAUAGGGGAGAAAUUCCAAUCGAACUCGGAUAUAGCUGGUUCUCCUCGAAAUAGCUUUAGGGCUAGCGCCAUGAAUGAGUACCGGAGGUAGAGCACUGAAUGAGGUAGGGGCUGACAACAGUUACCGAACUUUAUCAAACUCCGAAUGCUGGAUACUUGAAUCAUGGUAGUCAGACUGCGAAUGAUAAGAUCCGUAGUCAAAAGGGAAACAGCCCAGAUCACCAGCUAAGGUCCCAAAGUAUAGAUUAAGUGGUAAAGGAUGUGGGAUUUCUAAGACAACUAGGAUGUUGGCUCAGAAGCAGCCAUACAUUAAAAGAGUGCGUAAUAGCUCACUAGUCAAGAGAUCCUGCGCCGAAAAUGUCCGGGGCUAAAAUCUAACACCGAAGCUGUGAACUUGUACUUCGUACAAGUGGUAGAGGAGCAUCCUGUAUGGGCUGAAGUCGUACCGAAAGGAGCGGUGGACUGUACAGGAGAGAGUAUGCUGGCAUAAGUAGCGAGAACUAAGUGAGAAUCUUAGUGGUCGAAAACCUAAGGUUUCCUGGGGAAGGUUCGUCCGCCCAGGGUAAGUCGGGACCUAAGCCGAGGCCGAAAGGCGUAGGUGAUGGACAAUCGGUUGAUAUUCCGAUACCGCAGAGUAACGUUAUGAGAAAUGGGAUGACGCAGGAGGAUAGGAUAUGCGUACGUUAUUGGAAGUACGUCUAAGCACUGAGGAUGAAAGAUAGGAAAAUCCGUCUUUCGUUAAGUCUGGGGUGUAAUGGUGAGGUAGUUUACUACCGAAAUAUCUGAUUUCAUGCUGCCAAGAAAAGUCUCUAUCCAGGAGCUCUGUGCCCGUACCGCAAACCGACACAGGUAGGUGAGGAGAGAAUCCUAAGACCAUCGGAAGAAUUGCUGUUAAGGAACUCGGCAAAUUGACCCCGUAACUUCGGGAGAAGGGGUGCCUACGAGAGUAGGUCGCAGAGAAUAGGCCCAAGCAACUGUUUAUCAAAAACACAGGUUUCUGCUAAAGCGAAAGCUGAAGUAUAGGAGCUGACGCCUGCCCGGUGCUGGAAGGUUAAGGGGAAUGCUUAGCGNNNNNNNNNNNNNNNNNNNNNNNNNNNNNNNNNNNNNNNNNCACGAAUGGCGUAAUGAUUUGGGCACUGUCUCAACAGCAAAUCCGGCGAAAUUGUAGUGCAAGUGAAGAUGCUUGCUACCCGCGAUUGGACGGAAAGACCCCGUAGAGCUUUACUGUAUCUUAGCAUUGAAUCUCGGUAUUGUCUGUACAGAAUAGGUGGGAGACUUGGAAGCAGUUCCGUCAGGGAUUGUGGAGUCGUCUUUGGGAUACCACCCUGACAGUACUGGGGUUCUAACCGGAGGCCAUGAAACUGGUCACGGGACAUAGCUAGGAGGGCAGUUUGACUGGGGCGGUCGCCUCCUAAAAAGUAACGGAGGCGCCCAAAGGUUCCCUCAGCGCGGUUGGAAACCGNGAGCAGAGACGAAAGUCGGGCUUAGUGAUCCGGUGACACCUCGUGGGAGGGUCAUCGCUCAACGGAUAAAAGCUACCUCGGGGAUAACAGGCUGAUCUCCCCCAAGAGUCCACAUCGACGGGGAGGUUUGGCACCUCGAUGUCGGCUCGUCGCAUCCUGGGGCUGAAGUAGGUCCCAAGGGUUGGGCUGUUCGCCCAUUAAAGCGGCACGCGAGCUGGGUUCAGAACGUCGUGAGACAGUUCGGUCCCUAUCCGUCGCGGGCGAAGGAAAUUUGAGAGGAGCUGUCCUUAGUACGAGAGGACCGGGAUGGACUGACCUCUGGUGUACCAGUUGUCUUACCAAAGGCACGGCUGGGUAGCUAUGUCG